UAGCUCUUGUUGGAGAAGCAGGGCACGUGCAAGUCCUAGUUUAGCUAUCUCGAGUUUAACAUACUCCCCCAGUGAACUGUGCACGUGCUCCCCUUCUCCACCAUGAGUUC
rnacentral:pre_miRNA from 2 species